rnacentral:rRNA from 1 species
AUGACCGAUGCUUUGUCAAGGGCUCAUAUGAGAGAAGAAAAGGAGGCUGGAGAUGCAGAGAAAGAAGCUCUAAGCUCAACAAAGGCAUCAGUUGCACAAGAGCAUUCAGAAACAUCCAUUUUGCCUGAUUUUUGGUUUGACAAGGAUGAAAACGUCGGCAUUGGAGUCGUGGCCGUGGCAGGGAAGGCGAACCCAGCGCAGCUCUGCCAGUGGCUCAAGAGGAAGAUAAGCAAGGAUGUCAAGAUUUUCCGCCAUUGUCCACACGGGCUGAGAAUUGUAAUAAGCAGGGCUAGCCGUGUGGGGUUAAGGUGCUUGCCGGCGGCGACCUGCGUGGCUCUCAGCCUGCAUCCUCGCUGA